rnacentral:rRNA from 1 species
CAGUAGCCGCGGUAAUACGGAGGGUGCAAGCGUUAAUCGGAUUUACUGGGCGUAAAGCGUGCGUAGGCGGCUUUUUAAGUCGGAUGUGAAAUCCCUGAGCUUAACUUAGGAAUUGCAUUCGAUACUGGGAAGCUAGAGUAUGGGAGAGGAUGGUAGAAUUCCAGGUGUAGCGGUGAAAUGCGUAGAGAUCUGGAGGAAUACCGAUGGCGAAGGCAGCCAUCUGGCCUAAUACUGACGCUGAGGUACGAAAGCAUGGGGAGCAAACAGGAUUAGAUACCCCUGUAGUCCCUGUCUCUUAUAC